UGGGGAAUCUUGCACAAUGGGGGCAACCCUGAUGCAGCGACGCCGCGUGAGCGAUGAAGCCCUUCGGGGUGUAAAGCUCUUUCGGCCGGAACGAUGAUGACGGUACCGGCAGAAGAAGCUGCGGCUAACUACGUGCCAGCAGCCGCGGUAAUACGUAGGCAGCGAGCGUUGUUCGGAGUUACUGGGCGUAAAGAGUGCGUAGGCGGUGCUCUAAGUUUGGUGUGAAAUCUCCCGGCUCAACUGGGAGGGUGCGCCGAAAACUGGAGUGCUCGAGUGUGGGAGAGGUAAGCGGAAUUCCUGGUGUAGCGGUGAAAUGCGUAGAUAUCAGGAGGAACACCUGCGGUGUAGACGGCUUACUGGACCAUGACUGACGCUGAGGCACGAAAGCGUGGGGAGCAAACA
rnacentral:rRNA from 1 species